rnacentral:misc_RNA from 1 species
AGGCGGCGGCGGAGGGCUCCUCCGAGGCAUUGGAGGAUUUCUCUUUGGCAACCCUUCAUCGUGCACAUCUGAAGUAGAAGGAGAGACACCAACAGCUGGUGUAGCCCCAGACCCGUCUGGUAAGUGCUUCUGCAGCUCCAGUGGCAGCAGAUCAUUAACACGAAACCACACCUAGAAUCAUGGAGAUGAAUGGCCAAUCAAGCAAAGCCCUUGCCUGCGUGAUGUCUG